rnacentral:ribozyme from 12 species
UUUUUAGUUUUUUUUAUUAUUACUAUUAUUAUUAUUUUGGUUUCUUGUUUUCUUCCUCGUCUUCACGAAAGCGGAGAGGAA